rnacentral:rRNA from 1 species
AGCUCCAAUAGCGUAUAUUAAAGUUGUUGCAGUUAAAAAGCUCGUAGUUGAACUUGUGGUAGAUGUUGGACUCCUUUACUUUUUGGUAAUGGUUUUGUCCAGUAUUGCCAUCUUUUCAUGGAACUUGUGUGGCAUUAGGUUGUCGUGCAGGGGAUAUGGAUCAUUUACUGUGAAAAAAUUAGAGUGUUUAAAGCAGGCUUAUGCCAAUGAAUAUAUUAGCAUGGAAUAAUGAGAUAGGGCCUUUGUGCUAUUUAGUUGGUUUGUGCAGGAAGGUAAUGAUUAAAAGGGAUGGUUGGGGGUAUUUGUAUUCCAUUGUCAGAGGUGAAAUUCUUGGAUUUUUGGAAGACAAGCUACUGCGAAAGCAUUUACCAAGGAUGUUUUCAUUAAUCAAGAACGAAAG